rnacentral:rRNA from 1 species
UACGAAGGGGGCUAGCGUUGUUCGGAAUUACUGGGCGUAAAGCGCACGUAGGCGGGUACUUAAGUUAGGGGUGAAAUCCCAGAGCUCAACUCUGGAACUGCCUUUAAUACUGGGUAUCUCGAGUCCGAGAGAGGUGAGUGGAAUUCCGAGUGUAGAGGUGAAAUUCGUAGAUAUUCGGAGGAACACCAGUGGCGAAGGCGGCUCACUGGCUCGGUACUGACGCUGAGGUGCGAAAGCGUGGGGAGCAAACAGG